GUGCACAUGCGCAGCAGUGUACGGAGAGGUGCACAUGCGCAGCAGUGUACGGAGAGGUGCACAUGCGCAGCAGUGUACGGAGAGGUGCACAUGCGCAGCACUCUCCGUUCACAUCCAUAGGAGUUUUGAAGACAGCUGCGCGACAGCGCUCGACUGUCCUCGGAACUGUAACAGAAGUCAAUGGAGAGAGUUGCGGAUGCACAGCCACCUCUCCAUACACUCCAGGGGGGACCCGUUAUGGAGACAGAUGUAGAUCUCGCAAGUGGGCACCGUAUCUGGAAUAUGCCAUAAAAGUCUGAGAUGGGAGUACCCCUUUAAAGCAGAGGAGCUGUAUGGUGCCCAAAUUCCGUGCAGCUUCUUGUAGCUCGUUGUCAAGUCUGUAGAUAUUUUUGUAUUUUAAGCAUUUUGUACUAACUUUUUUAGUUGUUUAUUGCACAAUAAAAAGUUAACAGUGGGUUGUA